AGGAGCGGCGGGGGCUAGCGGGGGAGGGGCGGGUGGCGGAGGGGGCACCCGCGGCCCCGCCCCGGCCCCGCACCUCCGGGCUUUGGCGGCGGGGCUGUCACCGCGAGGCGUCACCGCGAGCUGCGGCGGACCCGCCGGGCGGAGGGACGAGCCGGCCGCCGGCAGGGCGCCCUCGGGAGGGUCGGGCGCGUGGGGGCGCGGAGGGGGCGUCCGGCGCCAGCCACCCGGCGGGCCUGGAGGAGGGGUGGACGGACGCAGUGCGAGCCUUGGCCCGCUUCUUCCAUUUUUCGGGGAACGCGGUGAGUGCGCCCUUCUCUGUGCGCGGUUCCGCCGGGGUGUCUGCGUGCAGCCCCGCAGCGCCCCCACCAGCGGGCCCCCCUCCCUUCGAGCCCCCACAGCCCCGGCCCUGAUCGGCGCCCCCGCGGCCCAUAAACGGAAGAGAGCAGGGACAGCCUUGGGGUCUGGCCUGUCGCCGGCAGAAGCCAGAAAUUCACUGAGCGCCCGUGUGCCCGCGGAGCCGCGCGCCCGCAGCGGUGCCGGGCUCGGUCGGCGCUCCCGCGGACGUGGGGGGCGGGGGGCAGGGGCGGGGGCCCGGCUGCCUUCAACGUCGCCUUGGGUUUUGUGAGAGGGUGCGUUUUCCCUUCCCGCGUGGAGGAGGCUGGCAGAGAUGUGAGCCCGGGCUCCGCCGGGCUGGGGUCAGCGGGGCGUCGCCCCGGGUCCUGGUCCUCGCGGCACCUGCUGGCGGGAGCGGGAGCUCUGGCCGCGCUGGCGAGCGCGCCGCGGUGUCUCUUUGUGGCUGGACCCGCAUUUCCCUGUCGACUGACGAGGUCGGACUUUUUUUUUUUUUUUUUCACGAGCUUCUUAACCACCCGUAUGGCUUCCCUGCUAAAACGUGUAUGUUUUUAAAUGUAUUUUUCCCUAUUUUCUUUUUACUGUGUUGUUUCCUUGUCAUUGAGCUUUGAGAGUCCUUUGUAUCAUCGUUGCCGCUACGUUACCAAACAGGUGAUCUGCAAAGAUUUUCUCCCCGUCUGUGGCUUGUCUUCUGUUUCCCUUGAGUGUCUUUCCAAGAGCGCAAGAUCCCAAAAAAAGGAAAUGAAGUAACAUAAAAGAGCGCAAGCUCCUGAGGUCGACGGAGUCCAAGUGACCCAUUUUUUCCUCCUGUGGUUUGUGCAUUUCACGUCUGUUGCAUCUAAGAAAUCUUUGCCUAACUGAGCAGUGCAAACAUCUGGGUUUUCUUCUAGAGGUUUUGCAACAGCUGUGUCUGCCGCUUACCCCCCCCUCCCCCCCCUCCCCCGUGGCCGGGGUCCAGAACCACGUGACCCUCCUUCUGGCAGAUCUCCUGGCCGCCUUCAUCCCAUCACGUGGGCACCUCAUCCUCCCAGAGCCUCAGGAGAGGGGCAGCCUCAGGGCAGUGAGAUGUUGUGACAGCCCGCAGCCCUGUUACUUUAUUACGGCAUAUUGCUACAGCCAUUCAACUUUUAGUUACUGUGUUUCAGCGACUGAUUUAGGAAUGAAACUUUACCAUAGGUCUGUGCAUGUAGGGUUCAGUACCAUCCGCAUCCACUGGGGGGUCUUGGGAUGUAUCCCCUGUGAAUGGGGGGGGGGGGUGUGGGGAGUUACUGUAUUAAGUUUUACAUGUAUGUCAGCGAUUGCAUUAGAGCUAACUUUUGUACGUGGUGCAGGAGAUAAAUCAAGGGAGUAGUUUGGUGUUUGGUUCUGUGUUUUGUUGGCCUUUUUUGCACAUGGCUAUCUAGUUGUUCGAACACAUUUGUGGAAAAGAUGAAUUCCCGUGUGGUUUUGCAGUGGAGUGCUCCCAGUGAGACACAGUCAGUGCACGGCUGUCCCCGGCACCCGGGAGGCUGGUGUUCCAGAAAAUCGCAGCGAGCAGAUGGCCAGUGAUUUCUGCAGGCACCCAGUGUCCUCAACCAGGUUAUCCUUGGGUCCAGGGCCUGGACAGUCGCGCUGGGGGGUCCAGGUUGUUCGACCAGCAUCAGCUUUGCGUCCCAUGGGUCCCCUGGCCGGCCAGAGGGUGCCCUGGGAGGAAAGACAAAACACCCUGCUCAGGAGGGUCAGGGUAGAAUACUGAAUAUCCGAAGAAGACCUAUGCAGCCCCACCCCCACCCUUUCGUCCUGGUCAUUACCCAGGAGGGGAUCAAGCGGACGUGUGCCUGUCUGGGGGCAGCCCUGGUGCUCAGGCCGGAAGAGGGCACAGAGGUGGAGUCAGAAAUCCUCAUAAGCGAACCCUGGGGAAGGGUCAUCAACACCACGUGCUGGGGCGGCAGGACGCGUGGAGGGCCCGGCCACCGCGAGCCCCGGCCCGCCACGGGGCGUCCUUUGUGAUGAAAGAAGCACCUUUCAGAUUGCAGGCGAAACCCACGGCCCCUCAGCUCCUUGGCUUGGAGAAGCAGCGCAGGGGUGAGGUCGAAGGUGAGAUGCAUAGCCCGAGGGAGGGUCCAAGUCUGAUGGAGUCACUUGCCAGGAGCUAGGGUCGCCCGCCCAGGCGGUGUCCGCCUACCCCCACCCCACCCCCCGCAUCGGUGAGCCAGCCCUGGGCAGGAGUCGGGUCUGGUGUGCGGUGACCAGGUCUGCGUCAGUGCAAAGUCCCGAGUGUUGCAUCCCAUCGGUGACACGGGGUGUCGCCGUGAUGGAUCCCUGUGGCAACGGCGGCCCGUGCCCGACUGGGAAGCGCCGGCUGCUUCGGCAGAUGAGUUUUGGUGGGUGGGGUGAGAGAGCAGGCGCCCGCCGUGCGCGAGCACAAGUGGCCCCACACGGUCAGCAGCUGUCAUUUAUUCCUAUAGUCCACAGCACCCAGAAGGGGCGUCAUUAAUCUGUAAUUUUGCAAAAGAGCAAAAAAACACGAGAACACCCUGCAAACCACAUUGGUUUCCUAGGCAUAACUGCCUGCUGUAACAAAGUAUCACAGACUGGCCGCGGAAGACAAAGGAAUCCAUUCGGCCACGGCUGUGGAGACCGGAAGUCUGAAAUGGAGGGGGGCGGCAUCCCUGGGGAGGCUCUGGGGGAGGGUCCCUCCUGCUUCUCCCGCAUCCUUGGUGCUUCUUGGCCUGUAGCUGCAUCGCUGCCGUCUCCCCUGCAUUGUCACAUGGCGGCCGUCCCCCUCUGUGUCCCCUCUCUGUCUUCGCGUCUUCACACCUGGCCUUCAAAGACUCUAUUUCCAAAUAGGCCACAUUCUGAGGUUCCAAGUGGAUAUGAGUCUGGGGGGACACUAUCCAACUCACUACACAGACCGAGUAGUUACAUCGUCUACAUCACAGGCCCAAGAAUUCAUGAAGCAUAACAGGUUUCACCAAGGGACCCUGAAAUAAAAGUGGCUUAAUCAGGAGAAAGGUUUAUUUAUCUCUCACAUUGUGCUCAGAGGGUAAGCAUCCAAGGGCUGAGAACCCCUGUUGUCAGGAACUUAAACUCCUGCCUUCUGUGCUGCAGUCCUCAAGACAUGGUUUCUGUCUUGUGGUCAAAAAUGGCUGCCACAGCUCCAGCCAUCACCUCCACACUCCAGCACGGAGGAAGAGCAAAGAAGUGAAAAGCACGCCUCUCCCUUUAAGGACCUGGAAAUAAUCUAUCACUUCUGUUCAAGUGCCUGUAAACUUAGUCACAUGACCUUUUUUGCUGCAAAGAUGGCUGGGAAGUGUCGUCUUCCUCUGGAUAGUCACACGUCCGACUAAAACUCCCGGGUGCUGGUACCCCGUAGUCUGGAGCACAAGUAUGUCACAGGGAAAAUGGCUCCCGGGAAGACUGCCCUUCCAGGGAUAACCCAUCCCACUGCCCUGGGCCCCGCUGACCUUUGGACUGAGGUCAGGGGCCACGUCGCCCCUUCAGGUGGGUGUUCUGGGAGGGGGUGAGAAUGAGGAGCCCAGCAUGUGGUGGGGACCCAGGCCAGGCCCGGCGAGGGUGAUGUCUGGGACCUCCAGGAUGAGGGACGGGGGCGGCCGGGCAGGAGUGCGGUUCCAGCAGAGGAACAGAGUAUGCAGAGGCCCAGAGGCCACGGACAGGUAUGAAACCCCAGGCACCACAGCAGGUGUGAGGUUGGAGGUCUCAGCUGGCUCGGGGUCCUGAGGGCCCUUGACGAGGGCUCUGGAUGUGGAACUUCAGCCCGGAGGGCCCAGGAUCACCGUGGAUGGGGCGCAGACCAACGACCGGGCAGCGGCUGGGAGCAGGGCCCGUCCAGGUGAUCCGGGGCGAUCUCCCCUCGAGAUCCUCGAGCACCUCUGCCAAGAUCACAAAGGUCACACUCGGGUUCCAGGCGGACAUAACUGCCGCGUGGGGGCACCGCUCAACCCGCUACAACCACAAAAGCAAGUCGCAAAGCGCUCCGUGUACAAUGAUACCGUGUUUGUGACGAACAGACGUGCGUGCCUCCGUGUGCGUGGGCGGCGAGCCCGUGGUGUGCGUGCGUCCGCACCGGCAUAACGUGUGCGUGUUUGUGUCCGGAAGCAGACUGGUUAACCGCGCUCCCCUUGGGGGAUGGGCUGGGAGGAGGAGGGGGCCCCUGUCCCCUUUGUAAUGACGCGUAUAUAUUUCGGCAUUUUUAAGUGACCAAAAGUUGGCUUUAUUCCUUAGGAAGGGGGCGUGAGGGAGGUAGGAGUCCCGGCCCCUGGCUCGGGUGACUCUCUCCCAGCCCAGGGCGCAGCUAGAAGCCCAGGGCGGGGGCCUGGGUCCAGCUCUGUCCCGCAGGGGCACCGGCCUCCCGGCCUGACUCUGGCAGAGAGGGCCACCGGGAACCUGCAGAGAACCACGUGGGCGCGACAGACCCACCCAGAAUAAGCAUGGCUGGCUGUCCCCACGGUGAUGAUUUUGGGGGUGCCACAGGGGGAUACUUUGGCAAACUUCCCUGUGAUUUCAGGGGACUUUUUAAGGGGCACGUGUGUAUGUGUGUGUGUAAACCUCCCGUGUGUAGUUAGCUCAUCUUCAGCCGACUGUACCUGUGACCGCUUUUCGUAAAAGGGGGGAAGCCUUACUGUGGCCCGAGUCCCGUCCCCAGCUCCACAGCCUGAGCUCUAACCCCCCAGGUGAUGCUGCUGGGAGGGGACUGGGGGUGAUGGGGUUAGUGCCCCCGGUUCUCCCCCCCUCUCUGUCUCCCCACCUCUCCCCACAGGUGCGCGCACCCAGAGAAGGCGGCCGUCUGCAAGCCCGGGGAGUUCUCACCAGGAGCCGACCCUGACCUCCAGCGUCCUGGCUCUGGAACCCGGAGAAGCGAGCGCCUGUCGUGUCAGCCGCGGGUGCUGUUUGCACGCGUGCGUGUGGAUGGAGUGUGGUUCAGCCCCCCCCCCCCCGCUGUUGUGUGCACCUGCACGUCCCCCCCCCCACACUGCUCCCUGACCUGCUUCUCUCAGUAGAACCAGAGUCCUCAGUCCCAUUCUCGGGGACCCGCAGUUGGCAGUGAA